UACAGAGGUCUCAAGCGUUGUUCGGAUUCAUUGGGCGUAAAGGGUGCGUAGGUGGCGCCGUAAGUCAGGUGUGAAUUUCGGAGCUUAACUCCGAAACUGCAUUUGAUACUGCGGUGCUUGAGGACUGGAGAGGAGACUGGAAUUCACGGUGUAGCAGUGAAAUGCGUAGAUAUCGUGAGGAAGACCAGUGGCGAAGGCGGGUCUCUGGACAGUUCCUGACACUGAGGCACGAAGGCCAGGGGAGCAAACGGG
rnacentral:rRNA from 1 species